GGGAAAUGUCUAAUAAAGGGUCAAGCGGCAUUUCUCCGCGAGGAAUGCCCCAAUGGAAUAUCUUUGCGGUCAUUUUCAGAAAAUGGUGUAAAAUGCACUGAUUUUAUUAUUCCACGAGAAGUGCAUGUGAAUGAGGUUGCCACCCCUCAUGUUGCCGUGGCUGCUCACCGUGCCACCAGUCCCCGACCUCCUGACUCUGUCCAGCACGCUCCAAAAAAGCCCCACAAAAAGAAGCAGCGCAAGCAGGCAUCCCCGGCGUAGAAUGUUAAUUAAUUGACAUUGUUAAUCUGUUGUUAAUUAAUGUAUUUUAAUUGAAUACUCUUUUUAAUAUUUUAAUGGAUCUUUGUUACUUUGUAAUAUUUUUAAUAUUUUAAUGUAUCUCUGUGUUUUAUUGUUAAUUGACAUUAUGAAUCCAAGCAGGCAUCACUUGGAUUCAUCAUGUAGGUAAAUCAUACAAAGCGUGAACUGCACAAUGUCUUCAUUAGAAAACUUUACAGGUAUGAUAAUGUUGUACAUUGAUUUUAGUCAUUAGUCCUGAUUUCUUCUGUGUCUUCCUGAAACAGGGAGAAUUUGUUUGAGGAGAUUAUGCAGGAACAUGAUGAGAUAGCAAUGAAGAGAAAGCAAACACGAGAACAACUUAGAGUUCUCCAACAGGCAUUGAGGGUAGGCUUUUCAUGACUCUCCAAUUAGCAAAGACCAUAUACCUUCACACUGUCCUCAAGUUCUAUCAUGGUUCUCUAGAAGUAUUAAUUUUCCUUAAGCUCUUUGGUUUUGGGAUUGGAGUUAAUUUGCUUUCUACUGCACAUGUAUAUGGUGAUUGGUAUCUGCAUAUUUAUGCAAGCAUUUAACAGGCUUAUUGUCAGAACUCGGAUGAGUAGGUGAAGAACAUUAGUGUUUCGUCAAAUGGGGUGACCUUUAAGAUUUUAAUCUUUCUUGCUUAGCGCGUUGUUUAUCUUGUGCAUGGUGACCCUUGUUACCCUCUCCUCUUGGAGAACUUAUUUACUACCCAAAAGCUAGCAUGCAUCAGUGGGCUUUUGUCACCAGAUGUGGAUAUGAAAUUCAAUUGCUCUGUUGUCAUGAGGUUCAUUAGUUGCUUCUGCAUUGCAAAUGUAGAUGUGCUGAGAAAUUCCUGGCAUCUAAUUCGCUGUAUUCUUUCUUUUCGGACAUUGGAUGAAUUGCCUUUGGAAGCUGAAACUGUUGAAAGAGGAUACAGUUUGAGUUUUGAUUCCACAAGAUUGCCAAAGGUCCAUGGACUGCCAACAUCAACAAUGUAUAGCAGUGGUUCCAGUGAUUCCUCCACAGCUUCUCCUAAGAACCCGAAGUCCCGGAAGUCAUCCCACUCAGGGGAGCUACAGCCACAUCUAUAUGCUGAUUCUAAUGGAAGUGGACAUGCUUACAUGCCAGGUCUCUAUCCAACAGUAGACUUUUAAGCCAUUUGAUCGAGCAUAUUGGUCAAUUUCUAAGAGUGUCCAGGCAUAUUAUAUUUCUUUGAAUUUCUAAGUCACCUUACGCAUGCAACUUCCAGAUUAUUGAAAUCCCAACUUUCAAAGAUGGCUUAGAAAGACAUAAGCAAA